CAGUUCGGAUUGCAGGCUGCAACCCGCCUGCAUGAAGUCGGAAUCGCUAGUAAUCGCGGGUCAGCAUACCGCGGUGAAUACGUUCCCGGGCCUUGUACACACCGCCCGUCACACCACGAAAGUUGGUAACACCCGAAGCCGGUGGCCUAACCCUUAGGGGAGGGAGCUGUCGAAGGUGGGACUGAUGAUUGGGGUGAAGUCGUAACAAGGUACC
rnacentral:rRNA from 1 species